GGAGGGGGCUAGCGUUUGUUCGGAAUUACUGGGCGUAAAGCGCGCGUAGGCGGACCUGCAAGUCGGGGGUGAAAGCCCGAGGCUCAACCUCGGAACUGCCUUCGAUACUGCGGGUCUUGAGUCCGGGAGAGGUGAGUGGAAUUCCUAGUGUAGAGGUGAGAUUCGUAGAUAUUAGGAAGAACACCAGUGGCGAAGGCGGCUCACUGGCCCGGUACUGACGCUGAGGCGCGAAAGCGUGGGGAGCAAACAGGAUUAGAUACCCUGGUAGUCCACGCCGUAAACUAUGGGUGCUAGCCGUCGGUCGGCAUGCCCGGUCGGUGGCGCAGCAAACGCAUUAAGCACCCCGCCUGGGGAGUACGGUCGCAAGAUUAA
rnacentral:rRNA from 1 species